rnacentral:rRNA from 1 species
AGAGUUUGAUCAUGGCUCAGAGCGAACGCUGGCGGAAUGCUUAACACAUGCAAGUCGCACGGGGGCUUCGGCCUUAGUGGCGGACGGGUGAGUAACGCGUAGGAACGUGUCUUGGGGUGGGGGAUAACGCUGGGAAACUGGCGCUAAUACCGCAUGUCUGCUGCGGCAGAAAGCCUUCGGGUGCCUUGAGAGCGGCCUGCGUCCGAUUAGCUUGUUGGUGGGGUAAUGGCUUACCAAGGCGACGAUCGGUAGCUGGUCUGAGAGGACGAUCAGCCACACUGGGACUGAGACACGGCCCAGACUCCUACGGGAGGCAGCAGUGGGGAAUAUUGGACAAUGGGCGAAAGCCUGAUCCAGCAAUUCCGCGUGGGUGAAGAAGGUCUUCGGAUUGUAAAGCCCUUUCGACGGGGACGAUGAUGACGGUACCCGUAGAAGAAGCCCCGGCUAACUUCGUGCCAGCAGCCGCGGUAAUACGAAGGGGGCUAGCGUUGCUCGGAAUUACUGGGCGUAAAAGGGCGCGUAGGCGGCGCUGUUAGUCAGGCGUGAAAUUCCUGGGCUCAACCUGGGGACUGCGCUUGAUACGGCAGUGCUUGAGGAUGGAAGAGGCUCGCGGAAUUCCCAGUGUAGAGGUGAAAUUCGUAGAUAUUGGGAAGAACACCGGUGGCGAAGGCGGCGAGCUGGUCCAUUACUGACGCUGAGGCGCGACAGCGUGGGGAGCAAACAGGAUUAGAUACCCUAGUAGUCC